rnacentral:rRNA from 1 species
GAUGAACGCUAGCGGCGGGCUUAAUACAUGCAAGUCAAGGGGUAGCAAUACACCGGCGUACGGGUGCGUAACGCGUAUGGAACCUGCCCUUAUCUGGGGGAUAACUCGGGGAAACUCGAGCUAAUACCGCAUAAGAUAGUAGAAUGGCAUCAUUCAGCUAUUAAAGAUUUAUCGGAUAAGGAUGGCCAUGCGUAAGAUUAGAUAGUUGGUGGGGUAACGGCUCACCAAGUCUACGAUCUUUAGGGGCUCUGAGAGGAGAAUCCCCCACACUGGCACUGAGAUACGGGCCAGACUCCUACGGGAGGCAGCAGUAGGGAAUAUUGGGCAAUGGGCGGAAGCCUGACCCAGCCACGCCGCGUGCAGGAAGAAGGCCCUCUGGGUUGUAAACUGCUUUUGAUUGGGAACAAUAACUUCUACGUGUAGGAGCUUGAGGGUACCAUCAGAAUAAGCACCGGCUAACUCCGUGCCAGCAGCCGCGGUAAGAC